AGUGAACGCUGGCGGUAGGCCUAACACAUGCAAGUCGAACGGCAGCACAGUAAGAGCUUGCUCUUACGGGUGGCGAGUGGCGGACGGGUGCGGAAUACAUCGGAAUCUACUUUUUCGUGGGGGAUAACGUAGGGAAACUUACGCUAAUACCGCAUACGACCUACGGGUGAAAGCAGGGGAUCUUCGGACCUUGCGCGAUUGAAUGAGCCGAUGUCGGAUUAGCUAGUUGGCGGGGUAAAGGCCCACCAAGGCGACGAUCCGUAGCUGGUCUGAGAGGAUGAUCAGCCACCCUGGAACUGAGACACGGUCCAGACUCCUACGGUAGGCAGCAGUGGGGAAUAUUGCACAAGGGGCGAAAGCCUGAUCCAGCAAUACCGCGGGGGUGAAGAAGGCGUUCGGGUGGUUGAGCCCUUUUGUUGGGAAAGAAAAGCAGCAGGUUAAUACCCCGCGGUACUGACGGUACCCAAAGAAUAAGCACCGGCUAACUUCGUG
rnacentral:rRNA from 1 species